GACGAACGCUGGCGGCGUGCUUAACACAUGCAAGUCGAACGGAAAGGCCCCUUUGGGGGUACUCGAGCGGCGAACGGGUGAGUAACACGUGAGUAACCUGCCCUUGACUUCGGGAUAACUUUAGGAAACUGGGGCCAAUACCGGAUAGGAAUCCUUGCUGCAUGGUGGGGGUUGGAAAGCUUCGGCGGUUUUGGAUGGACUCGCGGCUUAUCAGCUUGCUGGUGGGGUAGUGGCUUACCAAGGCUUUGACGGGUAGCCGGCCUGAGAGGGCGACCGGCCACAUUGGGACUGAGAGACGGCCCAGACUCCUACGGUAGGCAGCAGGGGGAAAUAUUGCACAAUGGGCGGAAGCCUGAUGCAGCAGCGCCGCGGGCGGGAUGACGGCCUUCGGGUUGUAGACCGCUUUCAGCAGGGGCGAAGCUUGUGGUGACGGUACCUGCAGAGGAAGCACCGGCUAACUACGUG
rnacentral:rRNA from 1 species